rnacentral:rRNA from 1 species
AGUAAAUAGAUACCCGGGUAGUCCACGCCGUAUACGAUGAAUACUCGGCAUCUGGCGGCCGAUUUUCGGCGGCCGGGUGCCCCAGCUAACGCGGUAAGUAUUCCGCCUGGGAACUACGAGCGCAAGCUUAAAACUCAAAGGAAUUGACGGGGGCCCGCACAAGCAGCGGAGCGUGUGGUUUAAUUCGACGCAACGCGCAGAACCUUACCCAGGUUUGACAUGACACUGCAAGCUUCUGAAAGGAAGUCGCCUUCGAGGGUGUGUCACAGAUGCUGCUUGGCUGUCGUCAGCUCGUGUCGUGAGAUGUUGGGUUAAGUCCCGCAACGAGCGCAACCCUACGGUCAGUUACUUGUGUCUGGCCGGACUGCCCAUCUUGGGAGGAAGGCGGGGAUGACGUCAAGUCCGCAUGGCUCUUACGCCUGGGGCGACACACACGCUACAAUGCCGGUGACAAUGCGCAGCUACUUGGUAACAAGAUGCUAAUCGUCAACCACCGGGCCCAGUGCAGAUUGGGGGCGUGCAACUC